rnacentral:tRNA from 1 species
CAAAAUAAAGCUUAUAGUGAAGCAUUUCAUUUACAUUGAAAGGAUGUUCGUGCAAUUCGAAUUAUUUUGA